CCUACGGGAGGCAGCAGUGAGGAAUAUUGGUCAAUGGGCGGGAGCCUGAACCAGCCAAGCCGCGUGAGGGAAGACUGUCCUAUGGAUUGUAAACCUCUUUUGUCGGGGAGCAAAAGACGCCACGCGUGGCGUUCCGAGAGUACCCGAAGAAAAAGCAUCGGCUAACUCCGGGCCAGCAGCCGCGGGAAUACGGAGGAUGCGAGCGUUAUCCGGAUUUAUUGGGUUUAAAGGGUGCGGAGGCGGAAGAUCAAGUCAGCGGUAAAAUUGAGAGGCUCAACCUCUCCGAGCCGUUGAAACUGGUGUUCUUGAGUGAGUGAGAAGUAUGCGGAAUGCGUGGUGUAGCGGUGAAAUGCAUAGAUAUCACGCAGAACUCCGAUUGCGAAGGCAGCAUACCGGCGCUCAACUGACGCUCAUGCACGAAAGUGUGGGUAUCGAACAGGAUUAGAUACCCGAGUAGUC
rnacentral:rRNA from 1 species